rnacentral:misc_RNA from 1 species
UGCAAGUAACCAUCUACCAGAAAAUAUACUGAUUUGUGUUCAGACACAUGCUAGUUUUCUUUCAACUUAUGAAGCCAUAGCCAUCCAAAAAGCCACAUACUGUUCAUUUUACUCUCUUGUCCAAAAUCUAUCUUCCAAUCCAAAAUAUGGAAAAUAAACAAGAAGAAGAGAGGGCAAAUUUUCUUGCCUAGAUCCACUAGUUAUUUCAAACGAUUUACCUGAUACAUGUGAAGUAAAACAGAAUGAUGAAUUUUUCAAAUGCCGUGGAGGACUUUCUGAGGAUCAAGUUGCCCACUACAGUAACUUGAAGGAACAGCAGAA